rnacentral:SRP_RNA from 1 species
GCCAGGCAUGGUGGCUCAUGCCUGUAAUCCCAGCACUUUGGGAGGCCGAGGUGGGUGGAUCACCUGAGGUCAGGAGUUCGAGACCAGCCUGACCAACAUGGUGAAACCCCAUCUCUA